rnacentral:rRNA from 1 species
AUUGAACGCUGGCGGCAGGCCUAACACAUGCAAGUCGAGCGAGCGGCGGACGGGUGAGUAAUGUCUGGGAAACUGCCUGAUGGAGGGGGAUAACUACUGGAAACGGUAGCUAAUACCGCAUACCAUCAGAUGUGCCCAGAUGGGAUUGGCUAGUCGGUGGGGUAAUGGCUCACCUAGGCGACGAUCCCUAGCUGGUCUGAGAGGAUGACCAGCCACACUGGAACGGAGACACGGCCCAGACUCCUACGGGAGGCAGCAGUGGGGAAUAUUGGGCAAUGGGCGAAAGCCUGACGGAGCAAUGCCGCGUGAGUGAAGAAGGCCUUCGGGUUGUAAAGCACUGUCAGCGGGGAGGCGUUACCUGAAGAAGAAGCACCGGCUAACUACGUGCCAGCCGCCGCGGUAAUAC